AUGUCGGUGGACGCCCCCGUCCCUACGCUGCGUCCGGAGGAGCGGGCAGGCCUCCUGGCGCUGCUCGCAUCCGCUGCGCGCCCGCUGGCCGACGUUGUAGCCGACUUCCUCGCGCGCUUCCCCCGCGAGCGCCGCCUCCGCGUCGGCGCUACGCUCUGCUUCCUCCUAGAGGACAAGAAAAUGCUUCAUGCAACCGGUCGUCUAAUCGCAUUUGCAAUUCUUCAUCAGAGCUAUUCCUCACAGCCAGUAAAUCCCUAUGUUCCUCUGCUGUUAAAUGCAGCUUGUGAUGAAUCAUCAGAUAAAUCAGAACAAGCAUUUGUCCAACUUUUGUUGACUUCGGCCAGCGGAGACAAUAACAAUGAGGUGCUGCAAAAGUCAGCUGUAGAUUACGUAAAUGGGCCUGUUUCUGCAUCACAGGCCUUAUUGCCACGGGAACACCUUGAGAAGCAAUUCUGCAGGAGUAUUGUACAGCCUCAGCCUCAAGUUAGUAGUUUCAGAAGCGCUACUGUUAGAUGUGCUAUACCAGAUCCAGAUAUACCUCAGAGUUGUGCCAAUUCAUCAGAGAUAUCAGCGCCUGGAAGCAAACAAAAAUCUACUUCCGAUGAUAGAGAUUCUGCUCUUGUUGCUUUACUCCAAGAAAAAUCAUGGGGAAGACUGGGUCCCCAAUGGAUACGGCCGAACCCCCCAAGACUUCAUAUACUUGAUGGGGAGCUACAGUGGCUGAAUCCUGACAACAAUCAUGAGCUAUUAUGGGAUUAUAGCAUGUGUGCUGAAACGAGUCGUGGGGCUGCGAUCCGUGAUUUGAUUGCCAGAGCCUUAAAAGGUCCACUUGUACCUGCUCAACAGGAGCAAGUUGUUAUAGAAUUGGUGAAGGACUCUAAGCUAGUCUAUCACUGUGGGAUGACUCCACAGAAACUUCCAGACCUUGUUGAGCAUAAUCCACUCAUUGCUGUAGAGCUUCUUUCGAAGCUUAUGAACUCUCCUGACAUUGCAGGUUAUUUUGAUGUUCUUGUGCACAUGGAGAUGAGCCUGCAUUCGAUGGAAGUUGUAAACAGACUUACUACUGCGGUUGAACUCCCGACAGGAUUUGUCCACGAAUACAUCUCAAAUUGUAUUCAAUCUUGUCAAAACAUUAAGGAUAAGUACAUGCAGAACAGACUGGUGAGAUUGGUUUGUGUUUUCCUCCAGAGCCUCAUCCGAAAUCAGAUUAUUAACGUUCAAGAUCUUUUCAUUGAGGUACAGGCGUUCUGCAUAGAGUUCUCACGAAUAAGGGAAGCGGCUGGCUUAUUCCGUCUGCUCAAAUCUUUGGAGUGA
rnacentral:rRNA from 1 species